UAAGGAAUAUUGGACAAUGGAGGCAACUCUGAUCCAGCCAUGCCGCGUGAAGGAAUAAGGCCCUAUGGGUUGUAAACUUCUUUUAGACGGGACAAAACCCCUUUACGUGUAAAGGGUUGAUGGUACUGUCAGAAUGAGCAUCGGCUAACUUCGUGCCAGCAGCCGCGGUAAUACGAAGGAUGCAAGCGUUAUCCGGAAUUAUUGGGUUUAAAGGGUGCGUAGGCGGACUAAUAAGUCAGUGGUGAAAGCCUGCAGCUUAACUGCAGAAUUGCCAUUGAUACUGUUAGUCUUGAGUACAGUUGAGGUAGGCGGAAUGUGUCAUGUAGCGGUGAAAUGCUUAGAUAUGACACAGAACACCGAUUGCGAAGGCAGCUUGCUAAGCUGUAACUGACGCUGAGGCACGAAAGCGUGGGGAGCAAACA
rnacentral:rRNA from 1 species